rnacentral:rRNA from 1 species
AGCAGCCGCGGUAAUUCCAGCUCCAAUAGCGUAUAUUAAAGUUGUUGCAGUUAAAAAGCUCGUAGUUGAAUUUCGGGGUUCAUACGUUGGUCGGGCUUUUUUGGUCUGUACUUAUGUAAUGGAUUCCUACCUUCUGAAUAACCGGCAUGCCAUUAAUUUGGUGCGCCGGGGAAGCAGGACUGUUACCUUGAAAAAAUUAGAGUGCUUAAAGCAGGCUAUCGCCUGAAUACAUUAGCAUGGAAUAAUGAAAUAGGACGGCAUGGUUCUAUUUUGUUGGUUUCUAGGAUCACCGUAAUGAUUAAUAGGGAUAGUUGGGGGCAUUAGUAUUCAAUUGUCAGAGGUGAAAUUCUUGGAUUUAUUGAAGACUAACUUCUGCGAAAGCAUUUGCCAAGGAUGUUUUCAUUAAUCAAGAACGAAAGUUAGGGGAUCGAAGACGAUUCAGAUUACCGUGCGUAGUCUUAACCAUGAUAAUCUAGAACCUAGGGAUCGGAUGAUGUUAAUUUUUUAAUGACUCA